UACGGAGGGUGCAAGCGUUGUUCGGAAUUAUUGGGCGUAAAGGGCAGGUAGGUGGUCCCAAAAGUCUACUGUGAAAUCCCCGGGCUUAACCUGGGAACCGCAUUUGUGACUGCAUAGCUGGAGUACGGCAGAGGGGGAUGGAAUUCCGCGUGUAGCAGUGAAAUGCGUAGAUAUGCGGAGGAACACCGAUGGCGAAGGCAGUCCCCUGGGCCUGUACUGACGCUCAUGCACGAAAGCGUGGGGAGCAAACAGG
rnacentral:rRNA from 1 species